AUGAACGCUAGCUACAGGCUUAACACAUGCAAGUCGAGGGGCAGCAUGGUCUUAGCUUGCUAAGGCCGAUGGCGACCGGCGCACGGGUGAGUAACACGUAUCCAACCUGCCGUCUACUCUUGGACAGCCUUCUGAAAGGAAGAUUAAUACAAGAUGGCAUCAUGAGUCCGCAUGUUCACAUGAUUAAAGGUAUUCCGGUAGACGAUGGGGAUGCGUUCCAUUAGAUAGUAGGCGGGGUAACGGCCCACCUAGUCUUCGAUGGAUAGGGGUUCUGAGAGGAAGGUCCCCCACAUUGGAACUGAGACACGGUCCAAACUCCUACGGGAGGCAGCAGUGAGGAAUAUUGGUCAAUGGGCGAGAGCCUGAACCAGCCAAGUAGCGUGAAGGAUGACUGCCCUAUGGGUUGUAAACUUCUUUUAUAAAGGAAUAAAGUCGGGUAUGGAUACCCGUUUGCAUGUACUUUAUGAAUAAGGAUCGGCUAACUCCGUGCCAGCAGCCGCGGUAAUACGGAGGAUCCGAGCGUUAUCCGGAUUUAUUGGGUUUAAAGGGAGCGUAGAUGGAUGUUUAAGUCAGUUGUGAAAGUUUGCGGCUCAACCGUAAAAUUGCAGUUGAUACUGGAUAUCUUGAGUGCAGUUGAGGCAGGCGGAAUUCGUGGUGUAGCGGUGAAAUGCUUAGAUAUCACGAAGAACUCCGAUUGCGAAGGCAGCCUGCUAAGCUGCAACUGACAUUGAGGCUCGAAAGUGUGGGUAUCAAACAGGAUUAGAUACCCUGGUAGUCCACACGGUAAACGAUGAAUACUCGCUGUUUGCGAUAUACUGCAAGCGGCCAAGCGAAAGCGUUAAGUAUUCCACCUGGGGAGUACGCCGGCAACGGUGAAACUCAAAGGAAUUGACGGGGGCCCGCACAAGCAGCGGAGCAUGUGGCUUAAUUCGAAGCAACGCGAAGAACCUUACCAGGGCUUGACAUAUAGAUGAAUAUAUAAGAGAUUAUAUAGCUCUUCGGAGCAUCUAUACAGGUGGUGCAUGGUUGUCGUCAGCUCGUGUCGUGAGAUGUUGGGUUAAGUCCCGCAACGAGCGCAACCCCUGUUUCUAGUUGCCAGCACGUCAAGGUGGGAACUCUAGAAAGACUGCCGUAGAUAAUACGGAGGAAGGUGGGGAUGACGUCAAAUCAGCACGGCCCUUACGUCCGGGGCUACACACGUGUUACAAUGGGGGGUACAGAGGGCCGCUACCACGCGAGUGGAUGCCAAUCCCCAAAACCUCUCUCAGUUCGGACUGGAGUCUGCAACCCGACUCCACGAAGCUGGAUUCGCUAGUAAUCGCGCAUCAGCCACGGCGCGGUGAAUACGUUCCCGGGCCUUGUACACACCGCCCGUCAAGCCAUGGGAGCCGGGGGUACCUGAAGUGCGUAACCGCGAGGAGCGCCCUAGGGUAAAACUGGUGACUGGGGCU
rnacentral:rRNA from 1 species